CGCACAUUGCGCCCUCUGGUAUUCCGGGGGGCAUGCCCGUUCGAGCGUCAUUACACCUCUCAAGCCUCGCUUGGUAUUGGGGGUCAGCGGUCUCUACGUAGACUGCUCCCCUUGAAAUGACCGGCCGAUUUCAUUAAAGCUUUGGCGUUGUGCAAACAAAUCCGCUUCAGUGUCUAAUGAUAUUCGACUGCCGUUAAGCACAUUUUACUUAAAAGGUUGACCUCGGAUCGGGUAGGGAUACCCGCUGAACUUAA
rnacentral:misc_RNA from 1 species